GCACAGUAAGGACUGUUACACACCAAGAAACUCUCUGGAGAACGUGGCAAAGCAUGAAGCUCGAGGCCACGCGAGAUAUAUAAUUAUUAUUAUGGAAUAGAAGCUUCCAACCUCUUCAGGUUUAGAAUCCACUAAUGGAGUUUAUCUGCACGUCUGACACACACACACACACUGAACAGCAGAACACGUUUCCCAAAGCUCGUUACACAACACGUCUUACAACCAGGAAACUGUGGCGACACUGCAGAAUGUUUGGAGCUCAGACUGAACUCUGGUCAAAGAGGAACAAUCUGCUCUGCUGUCAAACAUGGCUGGAGUCUCUCAUUCCAAUAAGAAACAAGUGGACUUCCUGCAGGUGGUUGUUCAUGUCCCUCACUGUGUGGACACACUGAGGGACACAGACUGUCUGUUGGCUUUACAGACACAAUUGAGUGUUGUUCCUCCCAAGAGAAUAGGAGGAGAUGAACCAAAGAACAACACAGACUGUUGCUGAAUCUUCUGUUUGUCUGGACAGUCGAGGACUUGUCGUCUUGUUGUGGCCACGGCGAGUUUGAUUCCCGUGUGGUACACCGAGUGCACAGUGAACCCGGCUGCUGUCACUGUAUCUGCCGAGCCGGCCACUCAUUAACUGUUAAUGACGAAGCCUCAGGAGACAGAGGACGCACUCCGGAGGACAGAGUCCCUGGGAUCCUGUGGAAACCAGUUGGGAUGUGGGACUGGAGGAAAUAUCGAAAGCCUCUUUUCUACUUUGACACUGAUAUGUUAGUGUUGAUAAGAGCCCACAUUAGAACAGCUUGAUAUUGUUUUGGGUUAUUGGCUGGCAGAUAAAGAAGCUGCAGAUAUGAACCUUUCAAACUUUUAUUAUUUAGAAUAAACAUAUGAAAUGUACAUGU